rnacentral:rRNA from 1 species
GUGUCAGCCGCCGCGGUAAUACGGAGGGGGCCAGCGUUGUUCGGAAUCAUUGGGCGUAAAGGGCGCGUAGGCGGCCGAUCAAGUCGGAGGUGAAAUCCCUCGGCUCAACUGAGGAAUUGCCUCCGAUACUGUUCGGCUUGAGUCCUGGAGAGGGUAGUGGAAUUCCCAGUGUAGCGGUGAAAUGCGUAGAGACUGGGAAGAACACCAGUGGCGAAGGCGGCUACCUGGACAGGUACUGACGCUGAAGCGCGAAAGCUAGGGGAGCAAACAGGAUUAGAUACCCUCGUAGUCC